GACGAACGCUGGCGGCGUGCUUAACACAUGCAAGUCGAACGGAAAGGCCCUGCUUUUGUUGGUUGCUCGAGUGGCGAACGGGUGAGUAACACGUGAGUAACCUGCCCUUGACUUUGGGAUAAAUUCAGGAAACUGGGGCUAAUACCCGAUAGGAGCUCCUGCUGCAUGUGGGGGGUUGGAGAGUUUCGGCGGUUGGGGAUGGACUCGCGGGUUAUCAGCUUGUUGGGGUGGUAGUGGCGUACCAAGGCUUUGACGGGUAGCCGGCCUGAGAGGGUGACCGGCCACAUUGGGACUGAGAUACGGCCCAGACUCCUACGGGAGGCAGCAGUGGGGAAUAUUGCGCAGUGGGGGGAAGCCUGAUGCAGCGACGCCGCGUGCGGGAUGACGGCCUUCGGGUUGUAAACCGCUUUCGCAUGUGACGAAGCGUGAGUGACGGUAAUGGGUAAAGAAGCACCGGCUAACUACGUG
rnacentral:rRNA from 1 species